rnacentral:rRNA from 1 species
GGGGAGCAAUCCCCUGAGUACAGCGGCGCACGGGUGAGUAACACGUGGGUAAUCUGCCCUGGAGUGGGGAAUAACACCGGGAAACCGGUGCUAAUACCGCAUACGAUAACGAGGUCUGCGGACUUUGUUAUGAAAGGAGCAAUUCGCUCUAGGAGGAGCCCGCGGCUGAUUAGCUAGUUGGUGAGGUAAUGGCUCACCAAGGCUUCGAUCAGUAUCCGGUCUGAGAGGACGGUCGGACACACUGGAACUGAGACACGGUCCAGACUCCUACGGGAGGCAGCAGUGGGGAAUUUUUCGCAAUGGGGGCAACCCUGACGAAGCAACGCCGCGUGGGUGAUGAAGUAUCUCGGUACGUAAGACCCUUUCGACGGGGAAGAAAACCGCAAGGUUUGACGGUACCCGUAGAAGAAGCCCCGGCUAACUCCGUGCCAGCAGCCGCGGUAAUACGGGGGGGGCAAGCGUUGUUCGGAAUUACUGGGCGUAAAGGGUGCGUAGGCGGUUCGCUAAGUUGGAUGUGAAAACUCUGGGCUUAACCCAGAGCCUGCAUCCAAUACUGACGAGCUAGAGUUCUGGAGGGGGUAGCGGAAUUCCUGGUGUAGCGGUGAAAUGCGUAGAUAUCAGGAGGAACACCGGUGGCGAAGGCGGCUACCUGGACAGAGUCUGACGCUGAGGCACGAAAGCUAGGGGAGCAAACAGGAUUAGAUACCCUGGUAGUCCUAGCCCUAAACGACGGAUACUUGGUGUGACUGGGAUUGAAUCCAGUCGUGCCGAAGCUAACGCAUUAAGUAUCCCGCCUGGGGAGUACGGUCGCAAGGCUGAAACUC